UACGGGGGGAGCAAGCGUUGUUCGGAUUUACUGGGCGUAAAGGGCGCGUAGGCGGUCAGCACAAGUCAGUUGUGAAAUCUCCGGGCUUAACUCGGAAAGGUCAACUGAUACUGUGCGACUAGAGUGCAGAAGGGGCAACUGGAAUUCUCGGUGUAGCGGUGAAAUGCGUAGAUAUCGAGAGGAACACCUGCGGCGAAGGCGGGUUGCUGGGCUGACACUGACACUCAGGAGCGAAAGCGUGGGGAGCAAACAGG
rnacentral:rRNA from 1 species